AGUGAACGCUGGCGGUAGGCCUAACACAUGCAAGUCGAACGGCAGCACCGUAAGAGCUUGCUCUUACGGGUGGCGAGUGGCGGACGGGUGAGGAAUACAUCGGAAUCUACUUUUUCGUGGGGGAUAACGUAGGGAAACUUACGCUAAUACCGCAUACGACCUACGGGUGAAAGCAUGGGAUCUUCGGACCUUGCGCGAUUGAAUGAGCCGAUGUCGGAUUAGCUAGUUGGCGGGGUAAAGGCCCACCAAGGCGACGAUCCGUAGCUGGUCUGAGAGGAUGGUCAGCCACACUGGAACUGAGACACGGUCCAGACUCCUACGGGAGGCAGCAGUGGGGAAUAUUGGACAAAGGGCGCAAGCCUGAUCCAGCCAUACCGCGUGGGUGAAGAAGGUCUUCGGGUUGUAAAGCCCUUUUGUUGGGAAAGAAAAGCAGCAGGUUAAUACCCCGCUGUUCUGACGGUACCCAAAGAAUAAGCACCGGCUAACUUCGUG
rnacentral:rRNA from 1 species